CGCGUAGGCGGGGUAGAAAGUCAAGUGUGAAAUUUCGGUGCUUAACAUCGAAGCUGCACCUGAAACUUCUACUCUGGAGGAUAGAUGGAGAAAGCGGAAUUCCACGUGUAGCGGUGAAAUGCGUAGAUAUGUGGAAGGACACCUGUGGCGAAAGCGGCUUUCUAAUUUAUUCCUGACGCUGAGGCGCGAGAGCGAGGGGAGCAAACAGGAUUAGAUACCCUGGUAGUCC
rnacentral:rRNA from 1 species